rnacentral:tRNA from 1 species
GCCCGGGUAGCUCAGUUGGUAGAGCAGUGGAUUGAAAAUCCUCGUGUCGGUGGUUCGAUUCCGCCCCCGGGCA